GACGAACGCUGGCGGCGUGCUUAACACAUGCAAGUCGAACGGAAAGGCCCUGCUUUUGUGGGGUGCUCGAGUGGCGAACGGGUGAGUAACACGUGAGUAACCUGCCCUUGACUUUGGGAUAACUUCAGGAAACUGGGGCUAAUACCGGAUAGGAGCUCCUGCUGCAUGGUGGGGGUUGGAAAGUUUCGGCGGUUGGGGAUGGACUCGCGGCUUAUCAGCUUGUUGGUGGGGUAGUGGCUUACCAAGGCUUUGACGGGUAGCCGGCCUGAGAGGGUGGCCGGCCACAUUGGGACUGAGAUACGGCCCAGACUUCUACGGGAGGCAGCAGUGGGGAAUAUUGCACAAUGGGCGGAAGCCUGAUGCAGCAACGCCGCGUGCGGGAUGACGGCCUUCGGGUUGUAAACCGCUUUCGCCUGUGACGAAGCGUGAGUGACGGUAAUGGGUAAAGAAGCACCGGCUAACUACGU
rnacentral:rRNA from 1 species